ACAGCGCCUACUACUCGUAGGUCUCAUUUUCCAAAACUGUAACAGCAGCUUCUGCAUUACGGAGAAAAUCAUGAACGUCAUUUUUACAGGAAGUUCAGCAGAGCUCCGGGGAUGCAUCUCCGUCCACAAGCCUCGGCUGAAGAUGAUGCACUCACGCUCUCCUGUUCCAUACUUGAGCACACGGAGGGGCCAGGCGUUAGGAGAAGAGUGUUGCCCGCUCCCCGGAGACAGAAGUGUGUGCUGCUGAAGUACCUGUGACCCUGCCAUGGCUCUGAGAAGACCAGUAGGUGCUCCUUUCUGAGACAGACAACCCCUCCCCAUCCUCUGCUGUGUAUCUAUUUUUCCUGUUUUAUUGCCGUUUGUGUUUGUUAUUUCUGUAAAGCUUCCCAUAGCAGGACGUACUUUAUAUGCUCGUAUAGGUUAGCUACACGUAGCACGGAGUUGAAAGUUCUCAGUGCUUGGCGAAGCCGCGUCAGAGGAGCUCUGCUGUUGUAGUUCUGAGAAGAGUGCUCAUGCUGCUUUAGGGUCGCACCCC